GGACGAAUGUUCUUGGGUUCCUGAAGUGUGUGGUCCAAAUGCAAACUGCAGUAAUUCUAAUGGAAGCUACAGCUGCACAUGUCUGAAUGGAUACACUGUGACCAACUCAAACCAGUCUAUCAGUAUCAGCAACCCAUGCACAGAUGUGGACGAGUGUUCUUGGGUUCCUGAAGUGUGUGGUCCAAAUGCAAACUGCAGUAAUUCUAAUGGAAGCUACAGCUGCACAUGUCUGAAUGGAUACACUGUGACCAACUCAAACCAGUCUAUCAGUAUCAGCAACCCAUGCACAGAUGUGGACGAGUGUUCUUGGGUUCCUGAAGUGUGUGGUCCAAAUGCAAACUGCAGUAAUUCUAAUGGAAGCUACAGCUGCACAUGCCUGAAUGGAUAUAAUGUGACCAACUCAAACCAGUCUAUCAGUAUCAGCAACCCAUGCA